UGGAAAACAAGCCACGGCUAACUACGUGCCAGCAGCCGCGGUAAUACGUAGGUGCAAGCGUUGUCCGGAUUUACUGGGUGUAAAGGGCGCGUAGGCGGGCUUGCAAGUCAGAUGUGAAAUCUCCGGGCUCAACCCGGAAAUUGCAUUUGAAACUGUAGGUCUUGAGUAUCGGAGAGGCAAGCGGAAUUCCUAGUGUAGCGGUGAAAUGCGUAGAUAUUAGGAGGAACACCAGUGGCGAAGGCGGCUUGCUGGACGACAACUGACGCUGAGGCGCGAAAGCGUGGGGAGCAAACAGGAUUAGAUACCCUGGUAGUCCACGCCCUAAACGAUGAAUACUAGGUGUGGGGGGACUGACCCCUUCCGUGCCGGAGUAAACACAAUAAGUAUUCCACCUGGGGAGUACGACCGCAAGGUUGAAACUCAAAGGAAUUGACGGGGGCCCGCACAAGCAGGGGAUUAUGUGGUUUAAUUCGAAGCAACGCGAAA
rnacentral:rRNA from 1 species